ACCGCCUGGGGAGUACGGCCGCAAGGUUAAAACUCAAAUGAAUUGACGGGGGCCCGCACAAGCGGUGGAGCAUGUGGUUUAAUUCGAUGCAACGCGAAGAACCUUACCUACUCUUGACAUCCAGAGAACUUUCCAGAGAUGGAUUGGUGCCUUCGGGAACUCUGAGACAGGUGCUGCAUGGCUGUCGUCAGCUCGUGUUGUGAAAUGUUGGGUUAAGUCCCGCAACGAGCGCAACCCUUAUCCUUUGUUGCCAGCGAUUCGGUCGGGAACUCAAAGGAGACUGCCGGUGAUAAACCGGAGGAAGGUGGGGAUGACGUCAAGUCAUCAUGGCCCUUACGAGUAGGGCUACACACGUGCUACAAUGGCGCAUACAAAGAGAAGCGACCUCGCGAGAGCAAGCGGACCUCACAAAGUGCGUCGUAGUCCGGAUCGGAGUCUGCAACUCGACUCCGUGAAGUCGGAAUCGCUAGUAAUCGUGGAUCAGAAUGCCACGGUGAAUACGUUCCCGGGCCUUGUACACACCGCCCGUCACACCAUGGGAGUGGGUUGCAAAAGAAGUAGGUAGCUUAACCUUCGGGAGGGCGCUUACCACUUUGUGAUUCAUGACUGGGGUGAAGUCGUA
rnacentral:rRNA from 1 species